UGGGGAAUAUUGGACAAUGGGCGAAAGCCUGAUCCAGCAAUGCCGCGUGGGUGAAGAAGGUCUUCGGAUUGUAAAGCCCUUUCGACGGGGACGAUGAUGACGGUACCCGUAGAAGAAGCCCCGGCUAACUUCGUGCCAGCAGCCGCGGUAAUACGAAGGGGGCUAGCGUUACUCGGAUUGACUGGGCGUAAAGGGCGCGUAGGCGGCUUGUACAGUCAGACGUGAAAUUCCUGGGCUCAACCUGGGGGCUGCGUUUGAUACGUGCGGGCUUGAGUUCGGAAGAGGGUCGUGGAAUUCCCAGUGUAGAGGUGAAAUUCGUAGAUAUUGGGAAGAACACCGGUGGCGAAGGCGGCGCUCUGGACCGAUACUGACGCUGAGGCGCGAAAGCGUGGGGAGCAAACAGGAUUAGAUACCCUGGUAGUCCACGCGGUAAACGAUGUGUGCUAGACGUUGGGGAGCCUAGCUCUUCGGUGUCGCAGCUAACGCGAUAA
rnacentral:rRNA from 1 species